rnacentral:rRNA from 1 species
AUUGAACGCUGGCGGCAGGCCUAACACAUGCAAGUCGAGCGGAUGAAGGGAGCUUGCUCCUGGAUUCAGCGGCGGACGGGUGAGUAAUGCCUAGGAAUCUGCCUGGUAGUGGGGGAUAACGUCCGGAAACGGGCGCUAAUACCGCAUACGUCCUGAGGGAGAAAGUGGGGGAUCUUCGGACCUCACGCUAUCAGAUGAGCCUAGGUCGGAUUAGCUAGUUGGUGGGGUAAAGGCCUACCAAGGCGACGAUCCGUAACUGGUCUGAGAGGAUGAUCAGUCACACUGGAACUGAGACACGGUCCAGACUCCUACGGGAGGCAGCAGUGGGGAAUAUUGGACAAUGGGCGAAAGCCUGAUCCAGCCAUGCCGCGUGUGUAAAGAAGGUCUUCGGAUUGUAAAGCACUUUAAGUUGGGAGGAAGGGCAGUAAGUUAAUACCUUGCUGUUUUGACGUUACCAACAGAAUAAGCACUGGCUAACUUCGUG